GUCUGUCAGAAACAUGGCUCAGCUGGUUGGAGCGUGGUGCUGAUAACGCCAAUGUUGCAGGUUCGUUUCCCGUAAGGGACA